UCCACUGUAUUGCUGACAUGUCCAAUAAAAAGAUUAUCAGAACGGAGUCCAAAAAGAGAAAAGUGGCUGCUUUCCUCGAAGUGGGGAAUGCAAAUGAAAAAGAUAGGGAAUCUUUAAGAUUUAAGAAAAUAGAAGGAGGUGAUAAAGAUUUUCUGCAAUGCCAGCCUGCAGUAUCUAUGGUAUCUGAAACAAAACGACAAAGAGGAAAGGAGCUUUUCUGCUGAAGGGAAUUUGAAAGACCAGUUUAAAAUGCAGAGGAGACAGGCAAAGAUACUGCAGAAGAAAACUGCCAUGGCAAGACCAAAGGUAUUCCUGACCCUCGAUAACCUGAAGUUGCCAGUACCAAGUGUUGAAGGACAAGUAUUUUCUCCGCUCUACAUGAUGGACCUCCAGCAUCUUUUGCUCUUCAGCAUCCAAGGGAA